rnacentral:rRNA from 1 species
CUGCUGCCUCCCGUAGGAGUUUGGGCCGUGUCUCAGUCCCAAUGUGGCCGAUCACCCUCUCAGGUCGGCUACUGAUCGUCGCCUUGGUGGGCCGUUACCUCACCAACCAGCUAAUCAGACGCGGGUCCAUCUUACACCGAUGAAAUCUUUUCCGUCCGGGCCAUGCGGCCCUAGCGGGUUAUGCGGUAUUAGCAGUCAUUUCUAACUGUUAUCCCCCUGUGUAAGGUAGGUUACCCACGCGUUACUCACCCGUCCGCCG